GACGAACGCUGGCGGCGUGCUUAACACAUGCAAGUCGAACGGAAAGGCCCGGCUUUUGUGGGGUGCUCGAGUGGCGAACGGGUGAGUAACACGUGAGUAACCUGCCCUUGACUUUGGGAUAACUUCAGGAAACUGGGGCUAAUACCGGAUAGGAGCUCCUGCUGCAUGGUGGGGGUUGGAAAGUUUCGGCGGUUGGGGAUGGACUCGCGGCUUAUCAGCUUGUUGGUGGGGUAGUGGCUUACCAAGGCUUUGACGGGUAGCCGGCCUGAGAGGGUGACCGGCCACAUUGGGACUGAGAUACGGCCCAGACUCCUACGGGAGGCAGCAGUGGGGAAUAUUGCACAAUGGGCGGAAGCCUGAUGCAGCAACGCCGCGUGCGGGAUGACGGCCUUCGGGUUGUAAACCGCUUUCGCCUGUGACGAAGCGUGAGUGACGGUAAUGGGUAAAGAAGCACCGGCUAAGUACGUG
rnacentral:rRNA from 1 species